rnacentral:lncRNA from 1 species
UUCGAGGAAUCGUUGUCGUUAUUGUAAAGUUUUGUAAUUUUAGAACAUUCGCUUCUCAUGUUGUGUAAAGGAUCUUUCCACCGGAACACCCGAUUUUUCAUAGCAGCGCAAAUGCGCAUGCGCUGUGAAGCCGUAGAUCACGAUGCUGGGAAGGAGCGACAGAGUGUUGUUUUCCGAAUAUGUAUAAACCUUUCAGACGUGAAUAUUGAGUAAAUCUUUGAGAAUCUACGCAAUAUAUAAAUUUAUGUUAUGCAUGACGGUCUUUCAAUCAAGUACUGAUAUAUGUAGACGGUAUAUUUAUUAUACAGAGCUAGGAAGGAGCGACAGUGUUGUUUUCAAAUGUAUAAACAUUUCAGACGUAAAUAUUGAGAAAAUCUUUG